rnacentral:tRNA from 1 species
ACUAUUUUGGCAGAGAAGUGCCUUGGAUUUAGAAUCUAAAUAUGUGAUAAGUUAUUACAAAUAGUA